CCCCGGAAGUGGACCGUCGCGCUCAGGCUUCCGGCCGGCUGGGUCCCGGGUGGACCCUCGUCCCCGGUGUGGGCAUCUGGGUUGCUGGGCGUAGGGCGCGCUCUGCUGCGGCGGCGAUCCCUGACCCCGCCAACCCUUGGCCGCGGGCUGUUCCUGCAGGGCCGGAGCGUGGUCGCGGCCCGAAAACUUAUGCGGUGGUGCUGGAUCGCAGCCGCGGGCGCCACAGUCCCAUGUGCCCGCCCUCUGCCCGAGAGGUGAAGCUCCUCCCUCCCAGUGAGAGCCCUGGGCUCUAGGUCUUCUACCCUGCAGGACUGCAGGGUGUCGUCCAGCCUCCCUGGAACUUCCCCUACCCCCGUGGGCUCCACGCCACACGUGCCUCCUUGGACAGUUUCUUCUGCCUGUGGUGCUGAGCGCGAAGUCCCAGGACAGGCAGCAGCCCGCAGCCCCUUUGGCAUCCAGCGCACGGCCCGCUGACCAUCCUGAGGCUCGUGGUUACACAGCCUGAGUGCCGCCGUCCGGCCGCAGCAGAGUCCAGGGGUCCCGAAGGAAAAAGAGCCACUUUUGUAUGGUUUUGGAGAACGUAUGUGCAGAGGGAGGACGAGCGGGGGCAUCACCUGCCAGGCGCCCGGCCCAGGCCCACACAGGAGCAGCGCGCGGCCGCCCGCAUCCCCAGGACCUCACCGCUCCA